rnacentral:rRNA from 1 species
CAUGCUUGAUCCUGCCAGUAGUCAUAUGUUUGUCUCAAAGAUUAAGCCAUGCAUGUGCAAGUUUAAACUGUCUCAGUGAAACUGCAUGCGAAUGGCUCAUUAAAUCAGUUAUGGUCCCUUUGAUCGCCACAUCCUACAUAGAUAACUGGUAAUUCUAGAGCUAAUACAUGGGGAAGAAGCGCCGACCUCACGGUCUGCCGUGCAUUUCGCCCCGGUCCCUUUGGUGACUCUGGAUAACCCAGCCGAUCGCACGGUCUUCGCACCGGCGACAGAUCAUUCGAAUGUCUGCCCUAUCAACUUUCGAUGGUAGGUUCUGUGUCUACCAUGGUGGCAACGGGUGACGGGGAAUCAGGGUUCGGUUCCGGAGAGGGAGCCUGAGAAACGGCUACCACAUCCAAGGAAGGCAGCAGGCGCGCAAAUUACCCACUCCCGAUUCGGGGAGGUAGUGACGAAAAAUAACAAUACGGGACUCUUUCGAGGAAUUGGAAUGGGUACAAUUUAAAUCCUUUAACGAGGAUCUAUUGGAGGGCAAGUCUGGUGCCAGCAGCUGCGGUAAUUCCAGCUCCAAUAGCGUAUAAUAAAGUUGUUGCGGUUAAAAAGCUCGUUAUUGGAUCUUGGGACCGGGCUUGCGGUCCGCCGCGAGGCGUGUCACUGCUCGUCGUCCCGGUCCUCCCCACCGGAUUCUCCCUGGUGCUUUAACUGAGUGCCUCAGGGUGCCGGAGCGUUUACUUUGAAAAAAUUAGAGUGUUCAAAGCAGGCCUGGCGCCUGGAUAGUGUUUCAUGGAUUAAUGGAAUAGGACCUCGGUUCUAUUUCGUUGGUAUAGUUUCAUAAGGUUGGUAAGACACUGAGUAAAGAGACUCUUUAUUUUCGCACAACCAAGAUACAUUCGCCUGUAAUCCAAUCACGCAUUUGUGUAGAUAUGCAAAUAUUGUACGCUUGGGAAGGCAUCUGUAGCAGCGAAUGCCUGGCAUCUAAGCGUUCAUCAUGAAAGCACAGCUGAGAUGGGCUGGCCAUCUGGUUCGGAUGGACGAAGAUAGUAUUCUACUGUGAACUUGCUUCCGGCUCGAGAAAGGUCGGACGCCCAUACAAGCGCUACAAGGACUCGCUGAAGUCGUAUCUCACAGCAUGCAGCAUUCCACAUCGGGAUUUGAAAUCCACCGCUGCUGACAGAAGUGCCUGGCGCCAUACUGUUCGCCAAGGAGUGAAGACCUUCGAGGAGAACAGACUCGACGAGCUUGACUGGAAACGACGAGACAAGACCCCAGCGCCACCGUCGUAUGCCCAGUAUGCGGACGUACCUGUGCUUCAGCAUUUGGGCUGCGAUCACAUCUAAAACGCCAUUGACGUCAUCAUCGCUUCGCGAUGGACAUCCAAGAUGUAGCAGCGACACCUGUGCUGCAGUGCAAUGUGAACCAGUCAGAAUUGCCCUGAGGAAAGUGACAGACGGUCACCGAAACGUCGGCUGAAUAAAAGGCUUUA